GACGAAGGUGGCGAGCGUUGUUCGGAAUCACUGGGCAUAAAGCGCACGUAGGCGGCGACGUAAGUUGGGUGUGAAAUCCCUCGGCCCAACCGAGGAACUGCGCCCAGUACUGCGUUGCUUGAGGAUCCAAGGGGUGCAUGGAAUUCCCGGUGGAGCGGUGAAAUGCGUUGAUAUCGGGAGGAACUCCGGCGGCGAAAGCGGUGCACUGGUGGAUUUCGUGACGCUGAGGUGCGAAAGCCAGGGGAGCAAAGCGGG
rnacentral:rRNA from 1 species